rnacentral:lncRNA from 1 species
AAAAAAAAAAUUAUGUGAGGAAAUUUCUUCGUCCUUGGCGUUCUCGCUAUAAUGUUGCAGCCAGUAGUCGCCACCACCGCCGCUGCCCCCUUGCUGCAGUUAUCUUCAUCUUCAGGAACAAAAAAAAAGUAGAAGGAAGAAAAAGAAGAAGAAGAAUAAGAAGAAGAAGAAGCCGCAGCCACCCUUGCUUCCCUUACCGGACCCCUGAUUCCGGCCAGCCCACCCGCCGCCACUACUUCUUGGCCGAGGGACCACCACUACAGUCGUUGUUGCCCAACC